AAGAUCUACUAUAGAAGCCACAAACAGAAAACUCAUUCAAACUGAUCAAACUUAUCAACGAGAUGUCUAACUCUUGUGCGUAACAUCACCGACACUUAGUUUGAUCAAACUUACCUUUGUUGAUAUCUACAGGAGCCUGGCUAAAGGAACUUUAAAGAUUGAGUCUUCCUUUUGGGCACAAUUUGAAUGAGUUUUCUGUUUGUGGCUUCUGUAGUAGAUCUU